UGGAUAAUGGAUGGAUGGAUGUAUUAGGACCUUCCAAGUCAGAUGAAUAGCCAUUACUGUGGAAUUUCCAUGUUGAUGGUGUGACCAUUUCAUAUUGUAACUAUCAUUUUUGUGUCUGUCUGUAUUUAAUGUUGUGUCCAGGGUUUCAAAGGACCAUUUUGUGGUGUCUCUGUAUUUCAUCCUCGAGGCCCCCUUCAGUUUUAAUGAGCAUACUGUCCAUAGUGGUUUUGAAGUUCCAGAAACGCCUACCUUUCGAAAUCCAGAUAUUUUAAAUGUUUAGACUUUAUUGAGCCAUUAAUGAGAAGACAGAGUAAAGACUUGGCACUACAUCUUAAAUGAAAAAAAAUGUCUUGCUAUUCUGCUCCACAGCACUGCGUUCUGCAGGUUUCAGGUCUUUACUUUUAGAAGAAACGUCAGCCUCCCUUCUUCAACAUCCAGCACAUGGCACUGAUGAGCAGCAACACAGAAUCCUUCAGCAUCUUACCGAGGCAGAGAAGUGGUGUGCUGAGAACAUUUCUGUGUUCAGGGUGCACAUCUCACUCCCUUCAUUACUGUCAAUGGACAAAGACGACAUUGAGGAGGCCCUUCAAAAAUUUGAUUUGCUAUCUGAAUUUCCAGAAGAAGAGGAGAGGGAAUAUGUCCUUAGACUCUUCAUCAUCCUUUAUUUCACAUAUGGAAGACAUGCAUCCGUUUUUAGAUAACGUGAGAGGAAAAAGGAAAAUGACUGUGUUGUCAGAAAAUGUAACAAACAUACAUGUCCCUCAUUGUUCA